rnacentral:ncRNA from 2 species
CUCUUAUCCCGAGCAAGCGGAGGGACAGGCCCGAUGAAGCUCAGCAACCAACUCCUAUAAAUUGAGGAUUAAGGUGCUAACCUGCAAGACAAUAGUCUUGGAAGAUAAGAG